GGAAGGCAUAGCUGGUCCUCCUGGACUGCCAGGUCAACAAAUCAAAGGUGACGAGGUCUGCCAGGAGUCCCAGGAGAGAGAGGGGUGCAGGGAGGUCCUGGGAAGUCAGGGAAAAAGAUUAUACUACUUUGUAACAGAGUGAACCUGGAGAAAGGGGACAAUCUGGUGUUGCUGGAUCAUCUGUUAUCGGACCUGCUGGACCAAAGG